CGAAAAGGGUGUCAGGGGGAUGACAGAAUGCGUGCUCGCACGCAAGGAGUUUCAAACAUUUGACAACCAAGCCGGGCAUGAGUAAGCAGAGCGAAAGCCCGGAUUACGAAUGCCGGCGGAGAUUGCGGGAGCACGCAGUGCGGAGCAAUCUCCUUUCG
rnacentral:sRNA from 10 species